rnacentral:lncRNA from 1 species
GUUGGUUUGUUGGAUUCUCUUAAUCUUAGUAAUGACGAUGUUGCUUGGAAGUAGAUUGAUGAAAUGUAAGUUAAUUUUUUUUCUUAUUUUUUUUAAUAAUUCAUUAAAAGAGAUAAUACCACACUUAAAUUAUAUGUAUAACAUGAAGGGCUUUGGAGAUGUUCAAUGCAGGUAUACAGAAGAAAGGAAAAGGGCAUGAACAAUCUUUAAGG